rnacentral:miRNA from 1 species
GUGAAGGCCCGGCGGAGA